GACGAACGCUGGCGGCGUGCCUAAUACAUGCAAGUCGAGCGGACAGAAGGGAGCUUGCUCCCGGAAGUUAGCGGCGGACGGGUGAGUAACACGUGGGCAACCUACCCUGUAGAUCGGGAUAACAUCGAGAAAUCGGUGCUAAUACCGGAUAAUCAUUUGACGUGCAUGCUUCGAAUGUAAAAGCUGGCUCCGUCUAUCAGUACGGGAUGGGCACGCGGCGCAGUAGCUAGUUGGUAAGGUAAUGGCUGACCAAGGCAACGAUGCGUAGCCGACCUGAGAGGGUGAUCGGCCACACUGGGACUGAGAAACGGCCCAGACUCCUACGGGAGGCAGCAGUAGGGAAUCUUCCGCAAUGGACGAAAGUCUGACGGAGCAACGCCGCGUGAGUGAUGAAGGUUUUCGGAUCGUAAAGCUCUGUUGUUAGGGAAGAACAAGUGCCGUUUGAAUAAGGCGGCACCUUGACGGUACCUAACCAGAAAGCCACGGCUAACUACGUGCCAGCCGCCGCCGUAAGAC
rnacentral:rRNA from 1 species